AUGUUAUACACAAAAAACCCCAGCAGAAGACAGGAGCCCCAUCUAUCACAGCUGGUGAAAUUGCUGCUCCUCAGCAAACUGGGAUCGGCGGGUAUCGCUGGAGCCCUCAGCGAGGGGGAUCUCUCGGGAGCUGACGGAAGCUCAGGCUGAGCUGGUGGAGGGCAAGCAGUGCUGUUUGGUGGAGAGACCAGCACCAAUGGGUUACCUCUGUGGCAAAGCAACAGAAGUGCUGGGCAUCCAGUGAUUUCAUGCCGUGCCUGCAGGGAUUGCCAGAGAAGAGGUUUCACCACAUGCUCGAGGUAAAGAGGAGCCCUCAAUCCACCCCUACAGCCACUGCUGCUCGCCCCCCAGCCCCCUGCCUUUCUGCAGCAAACUGGCACCCUUUUUUAUAAGUUCAGGGUAUGGAAUAGAAAGGAGGCUGGGAAGGAGCAGAGCUAAUGGAGCACAGCAGGAAAAGUGCUCGCAAGUUGCCAAGUGACAGCCUCUAGCAGAGCCUCUGAGAUGUCCGACCCAAACCUCUGAGGCUUGCCAAGGGCUGCUGCCAGCAGCUGCUGC
rnacentral:lncRNA from 1 species